rnacentral:misc_RNA from 1 species
GUCAAUUAUGUCUUCAGAUGUUUGGUGAGCCCUCCAUUGAUUUGUAAUUGAAUUAUAGAUUUGGAUCUCCUUUGCAACAUGGGUUGUCUUCUUUUGAAAUGAGUCUGCGGUUUUUAUCCUGCGGGUGAUGUCUGUCAUCGCUCACCAAAACAACACCAUUUCCCUCUUCCAGUCUUCCCUUCUUUCACUUUUUUGCCCCUG